UACAGAGGGUGCGAGCGUUAAUCGGAAUUACUGGGCGUAAAGGGCGCGUAGGCGGCCUACUAAGUCGGACGUGAAAUCCCUCGGCUCAACCGGGGAACUGCGUCCGAUACUGGUGGGCUCGAAUCCGGGAGAGGGAUGUGGAAUUCCAGGUGUAGCGGUGAAAUGCGUAGAUAUCUGGAGGAACACCGGUGGCGAAGGCGGCAUCCUGGACCGGUAUUGACGCUGAUGCGCGAAAGCCAGGGGAGCAAACGGG
rnacentral:rRNA from 1 species